UACGUAGGGGGCAAGCGUUGUCCGGAAUCAUUGGGCGUAAAGAGCGUGUAGGCGGCCAGAAAAGUCCGCUGUGAAAACUCGAGGCUCAACUUCGAGCUGUCGGUGGAAACUUUCUGGCUAGAGUCCGGAAGAGGAGAAUGGAAUUCCUGGUGUAGCGGUGAAAUGCGCAGAUAUCAGGAAGAACACCCGUGGCGAAGGCGGUUCUCUGGGACGGUACCGACGCUGAGACGCGAAAGCGUGGGGGAGCGAACAGG
rnacentral:rRNA from 1 species